rnacentral:rRNA from 1 species
UACGGGGGGAGCAAACGUUGUUCGGAAUCACUGGGCGUAAAGGGCGCGUAGGCGGCUUAUCAAGUCAGGGGUGAAAUCCGGCAGCUCAACUGUCGAAGUGCCCUUGAUACUGACGAGCUCGAGGGAGGUAGGGGUCUGUGGAACUUCCGGUGGAGCGGUGAAAUGCGUUGAUAUCGGAAGGAACGCCGGUGGCGAAAGCGACGGACUGGACCUCUUCUGACGCUGAGGCGCGAAAGCCAGGGGAGCAAACGGG